GACGAACGCUGGCGGCGUGCCUAAUACAUGCAAGUAGAACGCAGUUGCGAACAGGUGCGUAACGCGUAGGUACCUGCGUCAUAGCGGGGGAUAACUAGGGGAAACGCUAGCUAACACCUCAUACUGUGAGAUUGACCUGCGGUGUAUUAGCUAGUGGGUGAGGUAAAGGGUCACCAAGGCGACGAUACAUAGCCGGCCUGAGAGGGUGAGGUGCCACAAUGGGAACGAGACACGGCCCCGACUCCGACGGGAGGCAGCAGUAAGGAAUCUUCGGCAAAUGACGGAAGUCUGACCGGGGAACGCCGCGUGAGUGAAGAAGGUUUUCGGAUCGUAAAGCUCUGUUGUUUGAGAAGCGGUAACUAACCAGAAAGGGACGGCUAACUACGUGCCAGCAGCCGCGGUAAUUC
rnacentral:rRNA from 1 species